GACGAACGCUGGCGGCGUGCUUAACACAUGCAAGUCGAGCGGAAAGGCCACUUCCGUGGUACUCGAGCGGCGAACGGGUGAGUAACACGUGAGUAAUCUGCCCUUGGCUUUGGGAUAGCCACCGGAAACGGUGAUUAAUACCGGAUACGACCACUUCUCGCAUGGGAUGGUGGUGGAAAGUUUUUCGGCCAGGGAUGUGCUCGCGGCCUAUCAGCUUGAUGGUGAGGUAAUGGCUCACCAUGGCUUCGACGGGUAGCCGGCCUGAGAGGGUGACCGGUCACACUGGGACUGAGACACGGCCCAGACUCCUACGGGAGGCAGCAGUGGGGAAUAUUGGACAAUGGGCGGAAGCCUGAUCCAGCAACGCCGCGUGAGGGAUGACGGCCUUCGGGUUGUAAACCUCUUUCGGUAGGGACGAAGCGCAAGUGACGGUACCUACUAAAGAAGCACCGGCCAACUACGUGCCAGCCGCCGCCGUAA
rnacentral:rRNA from 1 species